rnacentral:rRNA from 1 species
GACGAACGCUGGCGGCGUGCUUAACACAUGCAAGUCGAACGGUAAGGCCCUGCUUUUGUUGGGUGUCAGAGUGGCGAACGGGUGAGAAACACGUGAGUAACCUGCCCUUGACUUUGGGAUAACUUCAGGAAACUGGGGAUAAUACCGGAUAGGAGCCGACGCUGCAUGGUGGGGGUUGGAAAGUUUCGGCGGUUGGGGAUGGACUCGCGGCUUAUCAGCUUGUUGGUGGGGUAGUGGCUUACCAAGGCUUUGACGGGUAGCCGGCCUGAGAGGGUGACCGGCCACAUUGGGACUGAGAUACGGCCCAGACUCCUACGGGAGGCAGCAGUGGGGAAUAUUGCACAAUGGGCGGAAGCCUGAUGCAGCAACGCCGCGUGCGGGAUGACGGCCUUCGGGUUGUAAACCUCUUUCAGCUGUGACGAAGCGAGAGUGACGGUAAUGGGUAAAGAAGCACCGGCUAACUACGUG